rnacentral:rRNA from 1 species
UACGUAGGCAGCAAGCGUUGUUCGGAGUUACUGGGCGUAAAGAGUGUGUAGGCGGUCGUCCAAGUUUGGUGUGAAAUCUCCCGGCUCAACUGGGAGGGUGCGCCGAAAACUGGAAGGCUGGAGUAUGGGAGAGGAAAGCGGAAUUCCUGGUGUAGCGGUGAAAUGCGUAGAUAUCAGGAGGAACACCUGCGGUGUAGACGGCUUUCUAGACCAUUACUGACGCUGAGACACGAAAGCGUGGGGAGCAAACAGG